UACAGAGGGUGCAAGCGUUAAUCGGAAUUACUGGGCGUAAAGCGCGCGUAGGUGGUUUGUUAAGUUGGAUGUGAAAUCCCCGGGCUCAACCUGGGAACUGCGUCCGAUACUGGCAGGCUUGAAUCCGGGAGAGGGAUGUGGAAUUCCAGGUGUAGCGGUGAAAUGCGUAGAUAUCUGGAGGAACACCGGUGGCGAAGGCGGCAUCCUGGACCGGUAUUGACGCUGAGGCGCGAAAGCCAGGGGAGCAAACGGG
rnacentral:rRNA from 1 species